ensembl:lncRNA
GAUGUUUGAAUUUGCACGUGCAUGAGCUGAAUUGCAGAUGCUGGACGAAGUGAGAGCACAGACCUUCAUGAUUAACUGUGGUCGAUGUGGAGUCUGUGAAGAAUCUGUUGUGAUAAAGAGUACACUUAUGUAGAAUGAAAACUGUGAGGUUUGUUACUGAAUGUACUUGUUUACAGGCAGCAUGGGAGGAUCACCUGUUGGAGCUGAAAGAAGAGCUUAGGUGUUCUAUUCACCACAGAUUUUGUGAAUCUUUAACUUUGCUUUUUCAUCUUAAUGUUGAAGUUCAUGUCUAUUUAAUAUAAUGCAGUAUGAUGAGUCAAAGAGGAGCUUUCUUGGCCACUCGCUUUCAAGAUUGAUGGGCAUUAAAAUGCCCAUGAGGAGGGGAUUUGUAGUAUAUUUAUGUAUCAUAUCAUAUAUUAUUAUAUAGGUAGUGAACAAUCUGUUCGGGUCAGGUUAAGAUGCAGUGACUGUUCCUCAACCCUUGCAGUUUCGCAGGGUCGUUGUCUGGGGAGCAUCUGGGAUAGACUCCAGGAAACAGACAUUUACAUUUACUUUUAGCAGUAAAAUUGAUCAUUGCUUAUGAGAGAAGUACAGAGAGUAGAUGGGUUCGUGUGGGGUGGGGUGAAAGAGUUUGCUUAAACUGGGUUCGUAGAAUCUGGGUUCGCAGAAUCUGUUGCGUAAACUGUUUAUUCGAGCUGUUCCUAAGGAAAUAUUCAAAAUGUCACGCCGACCUGGGAAAGGAACUGGGAGGUUGAUGGUGGGCCAGAUGAAGCUGGAGCUGGACAGAUAACACGGCCCAGCGCCAGGACUUUCCGAGUCAUCUACACGUCCUUAUUUGGACAUGUGGAAAGAUUUUAGGUGGUGGUUAAAAGCAGGCCUUCACAGGCUGGGGUUUUUCAGAGCGCUUCGCAGAGGGUCCGCUGGUAGCACACAGCGGACCCUUUCCGACCUCUCGGUUCUCUCUGCAGAGGAACAAGCAGAGAAUAGAAAUACACGACAGGACAAAAGCUUGUAGCCACAGUGGCAAUUUCAAAAUAUGUCUCCUCUGUUUUUCUCCCCAGACGUCUGCGAAAAAUUAUCAUUAGAGUCUAUGGGAGAAUUUCAGGAUGUCUCUGCGCUUUGAGGUUGAUAGCGACUAAAGUAUAGGUCUGAGGGUAUAUCCAGACACAUCAUUAGAAAGAAGACAAGUAUGACUACGAUUUAUUGAAGUAAUUACGUUGAUAGAGUAAAAAUUGUGGCUGUAGUGACAAGUUAAAGACAGAAGUUCUUUCUUAAAAAAGCGCACCUUCUCACUGUAGCUGUGACAUCACACACUCUAACUGACCCAAUACACACUAAUGGAAAAGCUGAAAAUUUAACAAAAAACACACGAUAUUUAAACGCUCACGAGUCAAAAAGUAUAGAAGAUACGACAACGCUGAUUUACGAGCAGAAAGUUGAGCGAUGAUGGACGCUUUUGAAGUUGAAAUGACGUUUCUACGCCAAAGUAUGACGAUGAUAGACGCUGAUGAAAAGAGGGAAGUUGACAAAAAGUUUAACGAUGAUUCCCAUAGACGACCAUUAUAAAAAAACGAUGAAAAAAGUUGAAUAACGUUAAAAGUUGAAAAGCUGAAAACAUAAAAAGUAAUAGCCCACAUCUCCUAAAGAUGACACACGUUUAGAAAGUUGAACGACGAUUCUACGAUGAAGCGUUAAAAAGUAGAUAGCAAUCAAAAAAAGGGCGGAAUAAGUAGAAGAAAAAUAAUAAUAAAGACCGAAGAUAACAAUAGUGUGAGAGCUGU